AACGAACGCUGGCGGCAGGCCUAACACAUGCAAGUCGAACGCUCGUAGCAAUACGGGAGUGGCAGACGGGUGAGUAACGCGUGGGAACGUACCUUUCGGUUCGGAAUAACCCGGGGAAACUCGGGCUAAUACCGGAUACGUCCUGCCCCUUAAACAAGGGUGGGAGAAAGAUUUAUCGCCGAAAGAUCGGCCCGCGUCGGAUUAGCUAGUUGGCGGGGUAACGGCCCACCAAGGCGACGAUCCGUAGCUGGUCUGAGAGGANGAUCAGCCACACUGGGACUGAGACACGGCCCAGACUCCUACGGGAGGCAGCAGUGGGGAAUAUUGGACAAUGGGCGAAAGCCUGAUCCAGCCAUGCCGCGUGAGUGAAGAAGGCCUUAGGGUUGUAAAGCUCUUUCAGCGGGAAGAUAAUGACGGUACCCGCAGAAGAAGUCCCGGCUAACUUCGUGCCAG
rnacentral:rRNA from 1 species